CGUCACCUACCUUCCCCACCCCCUAUCCUUCACCGUCUCCCCAUUCAACACAGCUCACUCUCUUCCUCUCAGGUCUCGCACUCCCCCGCUCUUCUCAGCCCCUCCUCGUCGAAUCGGUCGAGGACUCGUCUCCACCGGAUCGGCGGGCAUGGCAAUUGCGCGUUGGAAUCGCCGCGCCCGGCGCCUUCCUCUCCGUCUCGCUCGUCCGGCGCUUGGAGCCUCCGCUCGUUCGCGGCUUCCACCGACCUAUGCGGCUGCGCUGCGCCCUACCCUGCCCAGGUGCUGGAGGGGCGUGUGGUGAUUGCAGCCGUCACCAGUGGCUGCACCAGGAGGUCUCCACUCUUCAUCGCCUGCUCCGGCCAGAUCCAGUUGAACUUGCUCGGUUAUCCACCGCUUCACGUGCAUAUGGGUGUAGGAGGCGACGACCCAACCUGCCCGGUAGCUCAACAGUGCCUCCCUGCCCAUGUUCUUCGGCAGCAACAGUCUCCCUUAUGCGGUUUGUGCAUUCCAAGCCUGCCUUAGGACACCCCUUGUGAUAGUAUGCCUAAGAUAAAGACAAGCUGUGUUGAAUAUACUGAAGGGUGGGUGCUUAUUGAACCCAUAAUCCAUGAGCUGGAUGGCAAAAUUAGAGAAGCUUGAAAACGAUACACAUGACGGGAAUAAAAAGUGCGUAGCACUCUGGCCAAUUUUUCGCAUUUCUCAUCCAAGAAGCCGUUACAUAUUAUGUAUAAUGAUCUUUUCUAUAGAAGAAGGAAGGAUAUAUCAAAGGAGCUGAAUGAUCGUUUCUACCAGGGUUAUGCAGACCGUAAUCUGAUUGCAAAGUGGAAAAAGUAUCAAGAGAAGCAUAGUAAGAUAAUAAAGGUUGUUUGUAGAUUUUGAGUCUGACAUCAUAGUUUUCCAUCAAGGUGAGUAAUUUCAGCCAGCUCCCUAGGGUCUAAUAUAAGAUGCAUUAUAGCGAUACUUUAGCAUAUAAUGUAGUACUCCCUCCGUUCCUAAAUAUAAGUCUUUGUAGAGAUUACACUAUGGACCACAUACGGAUGUAUAUAGAUGCAUUUAGAGUUUACGUUCACUCAUUUUGCUCCGUAUGUAGUCCAUAGUGACUCUACAAAGACUUCUAUUUAGGAACGGAGGGAGUAUAUGGAUAAUACAUAAGCAUGCAGUACAAGGGCAUUUUAACCUUGGGUCAUGGCCAGGGGUGUAUGUGCUACAUUUGCUCAUCACUAAGUAGUGUUGUUUCUGCCUGUUUCUUUUCACGGGCUUGACGACGUCUUUUAAGAAUACCAUCUCUAUUGCGUGCAUAAUACUCUUUGUUCCUCUGCCUCUUUAAUUCUUUAGGGUCUGUAUAAAUAAGUACUGCAAGUUAGCACACAAGCAAGAGCAAAAAUAGUAGCAGAAAGUAGGAUCUGGUCGAUGAUAGUCACCCAAUGAUUGGUUGUUGCUUGUAUCCUGAAAUGGGGUGCUUGGGUCUGUAUAAUACAUAGCGCAAGUCAGAACACAAGUAACAGCAGAAACAGUAGAACAGAGUAGGAAGUGGUUGCUGAUAGUUACCCAAUGUUUGGUUGUUGCUUAUAUCUUGAAAUGGGGUGCUCGGUCCCGCACGAUUGGGAGAUGACAUACCAUCGCCUUCAUGUGAAUAUUCAUGUCAUCAAAUUAUUAGAAGCAUGUAUAUUGUGCAUAUAAUCAUGAACAUCAACAUCAGAAGCAAGUUUUCUAUUACUGACUGCAAGAAGAUAAGCAAUAUUUGUUUUGUCUGUGUAAAAAUACUACACAGUCCUUUUUGUCGAUAUAUUCUGUGUCAACAGAGUUGUACAAUAGGUUGCAUGUUUCAGUCAGUUAGAAGAUUGCAAUAGCCGAAACACUAACCAUUUUCCACAUAGAAAUCAGUAAUUAGAGAUGUAAAUUGGAUCAUUCUAAUGUAGACUGGUGCGAUGUAUCUUUCCUAUGCCCUAGGUAUGGUAGAAUGGUGUGCACUUGCAGGGCAUGUAAUGUUUGAUCUGUUCUAUAAAGAUAGGCAAUGGAGUAUAACUGUUCUGAAAAUUGUAAUCUUGAGUGCAGGGAAGAAUUACAGCUGGUCCAGGGGCCGUGCAGGGCGGGGGUGGGGGCGGUCGUGCGGGUGCCGGGCGGGCUCCUGGUCACUGGAGAUCUGGCGGACUUCUGCCACGCUGCGAGGGGGCAGGGCGGCCUCCUGGGCGCCCGCUACGUUGAUCCUGCAGGGAGGCGGCUGGGCGGUGGAGUGGCGCGAGGUCGUCGUGCGGGAGAAGAUGUUGGUGUGAUGGUGACGAAGGCAGGGACGCUCCUGGGAGAUUGGGCGAGGGGAAUCAAUUCCUUCCUUUAGUCUGCGAUUAGAUUUGCGUGAUUUUUGGGAGACGCGGGACCGGUAGUUGGAGGGAUGGUGGAGCACGGCCAGUCAUUGUAAAUUGCCAAGUCCACACCGUAAAUCUAUUAGAUGAAUGAUGGCUGUUACAUGCA